rnacentral:rRNA from 1 species
AAUGAACGUUGGCGGCAUGGAUUAGGCAUGCAAGUCGCACGAGAAACCAAUUAGCUUGCUAUGAGGUGGAAAGUGGCGAAAGGGAGAGUAACGCGUGGUUACGUGCCCUCGAGACCGGGAUAGUGUCGGGAAACUGGCAGUAAUACCGGAUAAUAUCUUCGGAUCAAAUGGUGUGAUUCCGCUCGAGGAUUGGACCGCGUACUAUUAGCUUGUUGGCGGGGUAAUGGCCCACCAAGGCUGCGAUGGUUACCGGGUGUGAGAGCAUGGCCCGGCUCACUGGGACUGAGACGCUGCCCAGACAUCUACGGAUGGCUGCAGUCGAGAAUCUUCGGCAAUGGACGAAAGUCUGACCGAGCGAUGCCGCGUGCGGGAUGAAGGCCCUCGGGUUGUAACCGCUGUCAGUUGGAAGGAAUCCAUGAGGGUUCUCUCUCAUGGUUGACCGAUCUUCAGAGGAAGGACGGGCUAAGUUCGUGCCAGCACCGCGGUAA